UACGAAGGGGGCUAGCGUUGCUCGGAAUCACUGGGCGUAAAGCGCACGUAGGCGGCUUUCUAAGUCAGGGGUGAAAUCCUGGAGCUCAACUCCAGAACUGCCUUUGAUACUGGAGAGCUCGAGUCCGGAAGAGGUGAGUGGAACUGCAAGUGUAGAGGUGAAAUUCGUAGAUAUUCGCAAGAACACCAGUGGCGAAGGCGGCUCACUGGUCCGGUACUGACGCUGAGGUGCGAAAGCGUGGGGAGCAAACAGG
rnacentral:rRNA from 1 species